UUUUUCUUUUGUACUACUACAACAUCCCACUUAAAUCACUCCCACGUACUUGCCUGGUUCCAACCCGCCCUGUAUGGAUGAGAAUGCUUUUUUCAAAGCCUAUUGCCACAUCAAGCAGAGGUACAAAUACACACUUCAAAGGCAGUCCAAACCCACACAUUCUUCUCUUUUCGUAUCAGAAACAAGAUACAGAUUUUGCCACCAUUUGAUUCAAAUAUUUCUGCCGCCCUGCUCUUCCCACUCGCUCCGAUUAUUUUCUCAGCAUCUUUCGCCAGGUUCUCAGCCCUCUGACUUCCUUCAGAACCUAAACAUCAUGGACAUAUGAAGAAACAAAGGUAUGGUGGGAUCUAUGUUAAACCAACAAUUACACACAGACAUGAGUUAUCUGAGCAUCCCUCAGAAGAAACAGUGUGAUACCUAUCCUAGGCUAUUUUUCACCUUUAUGAGCUGUGAAAACCAAGCCUUAUCGUCAAACAGUGAGGUUUAUAGAAAAGGAAACACAAAACAUGUAUUGUCACAGUAUUUUUUUUCCUUAGUACCAUAUGUAAAUGUUUGUUCAAGCAUCCCGAAUUUUUAUUAUGUGGUUCUACUACACUCAUCCUUCCGGUCAAAACUAGUCCAAGUUUUAAGUAGUUAUUUUCCCAUCAAACAGUUUCCUUUGGAAGAACAAAAACCUCUUAGUGCUAGUUUACUGCUCCUCUUGUUACACUGCUUUUACUUUCUAUUAAGGACAAACGUAUUUCUGGAAAGCUGGUCAGUGUACUCGCAGGGAGAAAAGCAAACCAUGUGUGAUCCAUGAAUUCCCAGCAUGGAUACAGUCCUAAUCUAAACUACCAGAGGACAACAUAAUGCUGCUUUAAAAACUACACACGCAAACCUCAGCCACCUUCAAAGGGAAAAAAAAUGAUAGCCAUGUUACACCAACCAGGCUUUAUUCUAAAAAACAUGUGUAUGACUAUAACAGAACAGAAGGGUGCAGUCAAAGCUCAGACAGAGCAAUUAAUUUCCAGGUCAGUAACUCUUGGUGUCAGACCAAACCAGUGAGCACUGUCAAGCUGGCAUCGAGACCAUCACCACAAGCUCUGCACUUUAGACACAGACCUGGGAAAAUCUAUGGGCCAUGGCAAAGGGGGCAGGGGAAGAAAAAGAAAAAAACAAACAGAAAUUAUCAGGUUUGUUUUUUUUUUUUAAAAAAAAGUGAUGUAACAAAUUAAAUCAUUAGUGAGACAGAAGCUCUAACCAUUAAAAUAUAAAAGCCUAACUAAUCUAAGUUCUCAUACUAACCUGGGUAACACCUGUGAUGGAAAGUAAAUCCAAUGAAUGCAAAAAAGUAAGUUUAUAAGUACAUCGUUUAGAAGAAAUUUCUCCCUUUGAGUAAAUGCAAGAGAAAUAAUGCUGGAGGGGGAGGAGGCCGGCCAACACUUCAAAUCAAAAUAGUCAAACUCAGUGUCCGUCCCUGCUACAGCACCACAGACCUUCCUGUCACCGCCGUGUCCCAGCUGUAACGCCAGCACAGCAAGUCGUGCCUACUUAGAGGAAGGCAGACACCCGCUAACCGCAGCCUUCUUCAAGCGAAAAGCCUUCCACGGAUGUUUUUCUUCCAUUUCUCACCACUUUCAAAGCCUUAAGACACAGGCAGCCGCCGGUGCCGCCGAGCCCUCAGGUGCAGGGGACGACCGACAGGCGCACACCGGGUGGAGAAGCCCUGGAAGAUUUCGCAACGUGCCGGAGGCACAGGCCGGCGGAUCGCGGAGGUGCCGGUCCCCAGAAAAGGCACCGUCAUUGCUCCGGGAGGAGUUCGGGGAGCCCUCCCCAGCGGGGGCACAGUUUUAAUAAAGGCUGAGCAACAGUGUUUGAAUCGGAGAGAGAAAAGGAAAGAAAUGAUGUGUGGAUAGGGAGAGUCCAUCUCCUGGGAGAUCAGUUCUAACAGGUCCAUGGAAGUGAGCCUCUUGCCAUCAUCCAGAGGCUCCAGUGAUACUCCUGCAGACACAGAGCUUAGUUUACUGCUCCAGGCAGUGCUUUGCAGAUGGCCAGAAGCAGAAUGAAUAAAAUAUUACAGAUCAAAAUCAGAAAGAAAGAAGCACCUGCGAAGGCAAGCCAGCAUUUGAGCAUAAUUGCUUGGUGGGGGAAAAUGGUAAUGCUACCUGGCACGUCCCAGCAAAACCAGGGAUUUCAUGCCACUGAGACCCAGCUGCCAUGUGGUACGUGCUGCCAAGGGGAGUUUGCAGAGACCUCAUGCCACAGCACUUCAGAGGUGAAAUACUCUGCAGGGUGCUGUGUGGUAUAGGGAGAGAGAGAGGCUGUUCCCAAAAUGCCUGGGCAACGUGCUUGGAGCUGAAGCCCUGGGGAUGAGCGCUGUGCAGCGGUUUUGCAGCUGGGUUAAGGUGGCAGGAGCUCCGGCACACUGCUGCUCUGCUCACACCUUACACCGGAGCUGGAAGAGGACUCACUCACACCUGACCUUCUUAUUUAUUUACAUUUUGCUGCCCAGACCAGCUUCCCCAUUGGGUCUGCCAUUAGCUGGGCCAGUAUGGAGAACCUAGAGCAGGCCCAGGACGUCCCUGUUUUCGGAGGCACAGCCUGCCGUUGCAGCUGCGGUGUGAGCUGGGGCGAAGCCUCCCCCCUGCGGCUUCCUCACACCUCCGCGCAGGAAGCAGAAAAAGGAUGUCACACCCUAACCCAACCCUGGCCAACAGUCUCCUGACAUGGAGACAAAUGCAGCCUCUACCGGGAAGGACAACAGGUUGCUCCCACCCCUCAGCAGCCCUGGAUGGACCACAGUGAAUCCGUGUUUUCCUCCCACUCUCUGUGAGCUCAUUAGAAAAAUAUUGCUGCCAGGAAGCAGCGUUCCCAGCAGAGAGGUUUACAGGCACAGCUGCGACUCUGGACCUGCCCCGUCGUGUCCAGGCUGGAGGGAGGCUCACCCUCCCCAGCUCACUCCAGUGGAGCUCUGAGUUUUGAAAAGAAACGGAGAAGCAACACAAUUUUUAAGGGACAGAGAAGUAAUCGUCUAAUUGCCUUCAUGGUUACAUGCUCAGCUUUCCACUGUUUGCACAAAUGAAUCACAAACAGGAAGGUUGGUACCACUGAAAAU